rnacentral:rRNA from 1 species
ACUCCUACGGGAGGCAGCAGUAGGGAAUCUUCCACAAUGGACGAAAGUCUGAUGGAGCAACGCCGCGUGAGUGAAGAAGGGUUUCGGCUCGUAAAACCUCUGUUGUUAAAGAAAGAACAUAUCUGAGAGUAACUGUUCAGGUAUUGACGGUAUUUAACCAGAAAGCCACGGCUAACUACGUGCCAGCAGCCGCGGUAAUACGUAGGUGGCAAGCGUUGUCCGGAUUUAUUGGGGCGUAAAGCGAGCGCAGGCGGUUUUUAAAGUCUGAUGUGAAAGCCUUCGGCUCAACCGAAGAAGUGCAUCGGAAACUGGGAAACUUGAGUGCAGAAGAGGACAGUGGAACUCCAUGUGUAGCGGUGAAAUGCGUAGAGAUCUGAAGGAAUACCCAGUGGCGAAGGCGGCCCCCUGGACAAAGACUGACGCUCAGAUGCGAAAGCGUGGGGAGCAAACAGGAUUAGAUACCCUGGUAGACUGUCA